rnacentral:rRNA from 5 species
GUCUGGCGGCAGUAGCGCGGUGGUCCCACCUGACCCCAUGCCGAACUCAGAAGUGAAACGCCGUAGCGCCGAUGGUAGUGUGGGGUCUCCCCAUGCGAGAGUAGGGAACUGCCAGACAUCAA